rnacentral:rRNA from 1 species
CAAUGGACGAAAGUCUGACGGAGCAACGCCGCGUGAGUGAUGAAGGUUUUCGGAUCGUAAAGCUCUGUUGUUAGGGAAGAACAAGUACCGUUCGAAUAGGGCGGUACCUUGACGGUACCUAACCAGAAAGCCACGGCUAACUACGUGCCAGCAGCCGCGGUAAUACGUAGGUGGCAAGCGUUGUCCGGAAUUAUUGGGCGUAAAGGGCUCGCAGGCGGUUUCUUAAGUCUGAUGUGAAAGCCCCCGGCUCAACCGGGGAGGGUCAUUGGAAACUGGGGAACUUGAGUGCAGAAGAGGAGAGUGGAAUUCCACGUGUAGCGGUGAAAUGCGUAGAGAUGUGGAGGAACACCAGUGGCGAAGGCGACUCUCUGGUCUGUAACUGACGCUGAGGAGCGAAAGCGUGGGGAGCGAACAGGAUUAGAUACCCUGGUAGUCCACGCCGUAAACGAUGAGUGCUAAGUGUUAGGGGGUUUCCGCCCCUUAGUGCUGCAGCUAACGCAUUAAGCACUCCGCCUGGGGAGUACGGUCGCAAGACUGAAACUCAAAGGAAUUGACGGGGGCCCGCACAAGCGGUGGAGCAUGUGGUUUAAUUCGAAGCAACGCGAAGAACCUUACCAGGUCUUGACAUCCUCUGACAAUCCUAGAGAUAGGACGUCCCCUUCGGGGGCAGAGUGACAGGUGGUGCAUGGUUGUCGUCAGCUCGUGUCGUGAGAUGUUGGGUUAAGUCCCGCAACGAGCGCAACCCUUGAUCUUAGUUGCCAGCAUUCAGUUGGGCACUCUAAGGUGACUGCCGGUGACAAACCGGAGGAAGGUGGGGAUGACGUCAAAUCAUCAUGCCCCUUAUGACCUGGGCUACACACGUGCUACAAUGGACAGAACAAAGGGCAGCGAAACCGCGAGGUUAAGCCAAUCCCACAAAUCUGUUCUCAGUUCGGAUCGCAGUCUGCAACUCGACUGCGUGAAGCUGGAAUCGCUAGUAA